CCGGCGCACGGUGAGUAACGCGUAUGCAACUUACCUAUCAGAGGGGGAUAACCCGGCGAAAGUCGGGCUAAUACCGCAUGAAGCAGGGAUCCCGCAUGGGAAUAUUUGCUAAAGAUUCAUCGCUGAUAGAUAGGCAUGCGUUCCAUUAGGCAGUUGGCGGGGUAACGGCCCACCAAACCGACGAUGGAUAGGGGUUCUGAGAGGAAGGUCCCCCACAUUGGUACUGAGACACGGACCAA
rnacentral:rRNA from 1 species